AAACCCCACGUGGGAGAGUCCUCGGGGUGGUUCUCAACGACGAACCACCUGCGAGGCGCCGAAGGGGCAACAUCCCCGGAACCUCUCAGGCGCCCGGACCACGUGGGGGAG
rnacentral:ncRNA from 2 species